AUAAGGGAUCUGAGAGUAAGGAAAACUGGUUUCCCACCCGGAUGCUUAUUCUCAUUUGCUAAGACACUGCUGACCCACGAACUCCGGAAGAAUGGCAUGAGGUCCCCGUUCCUCUGUCUCCUGCAACUGUGGGACUGACAGCCAACAGGACUCCACUUCCUACCAAGAUGACCCUUUCUUUGGCUGACUAGGUCAUAGGUCUGACAUUGGCAGAUAAGGCAAUUCUGGGGGAUAUGAGUUUUUUAAUUUGUUUCAAAUGCAGGAAUUUGAAUCAAAUUCUAUUGCCGAUUAAAAGGAAAUUUGUAGUUCGUGA